rnacentral:misc_RNA from 1 species
AAGUCGUAACAAGGUUUCCGUAGGUGAACCUGCGGAAGGAUCAUUAACACGUAUCCAACGUUAAACCCCCUGUGAACCUUCAUUGUGCUCGUCCACCCCGUCAUAAACCGGCAAUCCCUGGUAAAUCAUCGCCGAACAGUUUUGAUUCAGGGACCUCUGGGAAGGGUGUACAGUAGUGCGAGGCAAUUGACCUGGCAUUCCUCUGCUUGUUAGUGUCUGAAAGUGUCACUAGCUAUGUACGGAUGGCGCAGUAACGAUCGCUGGAGGCCGACACGGCCGGCGACCAGGUCACUGGGCUACGGCCCCCCUGAUCACAACCUUUGCAUGAAAACGGGCCUGCGCUGAGGUGCGGCCACCCCUAAUGCUUGAACAACUGUUAACAAUGGAUAUCUUGGUUCUC